rnacentral:lncRNA from 1 species
UAGUCAGCAGGAGGGCAGGGAUCCAGACGCCAACAUAGACCACCUUUUCAGCCAACAGCUUCCUUGGCCUCUGACUGUUGGUGGCGUGGACGAUGGCCAGGAUGAGGACACUGCUGUAGAGGUUGACUGUGUAGAUGACAUGGACUGCCUUGCAUAGGAAGUUCCCAAAGUACCAGUUUGCCACGGCAUCAACUGCCCAG